CACGUAGGGCGCGAGCGUUUGUCCGGAAUUAUUGGGCGUAAAGAGCUCGUAGGCGGCCUGUUGCGUCCGCUGUGAAAGCCCGGGGCUUAACCCCGGGUCGGCAGUGGAUACGGGCAGGCUAGAGGUAGGUAGGGGAGAAUGGAAUUCCCGGUGUAGCGGUGAAAUGCGCAGAUAGUCGGGAGGAACACCGGUGGCGAAGGCGGUUCUCUGGGCCUUACCUGACGCUGAGGAGCGAAAGCGUGGGGAGCGAACAGG
rnacentral:rRNA from 1 species